AUUGAACGCUGGCGGCAGGCUUAACACAUGCAAGUCGAGCGGUAGCACAGGGGAGCUUGCUCCCUGGGUGACGAGCGGCGGACGGGUGAGUAAUGUCUGGGAAACUGCCUGAUGGAGGGGGAUAACUACUGGAAACGGUAGCUAAUACCGCAUAACGUCGCAAGACCAAAGAGGGGGACCUUCGGGCCUCUUGCCAUCAGAUUUGCCCAGAUGGGAUUAGCUAGUAGGUGGGGUAAUGGCUCACCUAGGCGACGAUCCCUAGCUGGUCUGAGAGGAUGACCAGCCACACUGGAACUGAGACACGGUCCAGACUCCUACGGGAGGCAGCAGUGGGGAAUAUUGCACAAUGGGCGCAAGCCUGAUGCAGCCAUGCCGCGUGUGUGAAGAAGGCCUUCGGGUUGUAAAGCACUUUCAGCGAGGAGGAAGGUGGUGAGCUUAAUACGUUCAUCAAUUGACGUUACUCGCAGAAGAAGCACCGGCUAACUCCGUG
rnacentral:rRNA from 1 species